UCCACCUGGUAUAUACAUACUGUGUGUUUAAACACCAGACAGUCACCAUAAAAGUGUUCAAACUUCACUAUCUGCACUUCAAACCCUCCCUCAGAUAAGACUCAGUCUCAAAUCAGAGCGCUGCAUUCAACAUCUACUUUACUGCCGGGAUCACCUGUGUUCUUUGAGAGUUGCUUCUGAAUUGUGAAUUUCUUCAUUGCAGUGGGGAUGGAUGACUCAAGUUUAGUAUUUACGAUCAUUGCACCUAUUGGUAUCCUUAUUUUUUUGACGGUCUUCUUUGUUGGCUGCUGUACAAUAUUCCAGCGAGUCUGUAAGAAGCGAGAUGAGCAUGUGCAGACUCAAGUUCAAGCCGUGGAUCCGCCCUCUGUUUACGUCAUUCCGAUCUCUAUGUCCGAAGAUGAGCUGCACAGACCACCGCGCUACAGCACAGUACAGUUCUACGAGCCGCCUCCUGCUUAU